rnacentral:rRNA from 1 species
GUAUCAAGUAGGGCGGGACACGUGAAAUCCUGUCUGAAGAUCGGAGGACCACCUUCGAAGGCUAAGUACUCCUUACUGACCGAUAGUGAACCAGUACCGUGAGGGAAAGGUGAAAAGCACCCCGACAAGGGGAGUGAAACAGAUCCUGAAACCGGAUGCCUACAAGCAGUUGGAGCCCAAGGUCCGUCCUGGGUGACAGCGUACCUCUUGCAU